rnacentral:rRNA from 1 species
UACGUAGGGUGCAAGCGUUAAUCGGAAUUACUGGGCGUAAAGCGUGCGCAGGCGGUUGUGCAAGACAGAUGUGAAAUCCCCGGGCUUAACCUGGGAACUGCAUUUGUGACUGCACGGCUAGAGUGCGGCAGAGGGGGAUGGAAUUCCGCGUGUAACAGUGAAAUGCGUAGGUAUGCGGAGGAACACCGAUGGCGAAGGCAAUCCCCUGGGCCUGCACUGACGCUCAUGCACGAAAGCGUGGGGAGCAAACAGG